rnacentral:rRNA from 1 species
CCUACGGGGGGCAGCAGUGAGGAAUAUUGGUCAAUGGACGAGAGUCUGAACCAGCCAAGUAGCGUGAAGGAUGACUGCCCUAUGGGUUGUAAACUUCUUUUAUAUGGGAAUAAAACGUUCCACGUGUGGGAUUUUGUAUGUACCAUAUGAAUAAGGAUCGGCUAACUCCGUGCCAGCAGCCGCGGUAAUACGGAGGAUCCGAGCGUUAUCCGGAGUUAUUGGGUUUAAAGGGAGCGUAGGUGGAUUGUUAAGUCAGUUGUGAAAGUUUGCGGCUCAACCGUAAAAUUGCAGUUGAAACUGGCAGUCUUGAGUACAGUAGAGGUGGGCGGAAUUCGUGGUGUAGCGGUGAAAUGCUUAGAUAUCACGAAGAACUCCGAUUGCGAAGGCAGUUCACUGGACUGCAACUGACACUGAGGCUCGAAAGUGUGGGUAUCAAACAGGAUUAGAUACCCCGGUAGUC